AAAAAAUAAAAAAUAAAUAAAAAUAAAAAAAGGAGGAGGAAGGAAGAAAAUGAAAGCAGUGUGAGAGAUGACAGUGAUGAUAAGCCGGGUGCAAAUGCAGGUGCAGGUGCUGCAUCACCUUCACCUUCCUUGUGGAAGCCUCAGGCCGACGACGUCCGUACUGUUCCCUCGUUGGAAGCCCUCUCUCUCUGUCUCUGCCCCACCAUGCUCUCGCUAUUUCUCCUCCACUCCUCUCCUCUGCUCCGCUUCUCGUCACAACCCUCAGAGCUCGGGGGGUGGAACAAGUGCGUCCAUUGUUGGGGAUUUGCUGGACUACCUCAACGAGUCUUGGACUCAAUUCCAUGCUACGGCUGAAGCAAAGCGUCAGCUAAUUGCUGCUGGUUUUCAUUUACUAAAUGAGAAUGAUGAGUGGGAGCUGAAACCCGGAGGACGCUAUUUCUUUACAAGGAAUAUGUCUUGUUUGGUUGCAUUUGCUGUUGGAGAGAAGUAUGCUGUUGGGAAUGGUUUUCAUGCUAUUGCUGCACACACAGACAGCCCAUGCCUAAAAUUAAAACCAAAAUCUGCAUCUUCCAAGUCUGGUUAUCUAAUGGUCAAUGUGCAAACUUAUGGAGGUGGUUUGUGGCAUACUUGGUUUGACAGAGACUUAACUGUUGCUGGAAGAGUGAUAUUGAGAAGCAGCAAUGGUUCGUUUUUGCACAAACUUGUCAAAGUGAAGAAGCCUUUGUUACGGAUACCAACACUUGCUAUUCAUCUUGACCGCACAGUGAACAAGGAUGGAUUUAAACCAAAUCUAGAGACUCAUCUUAUUCCGUUACUUGCAUCAAAACUAGAGGAAACAUCUCUUGAUUCAAAAGAAAAGAGUCCUGCAGCAUCCUCAAAGUCCACUCAUCAUCCACUUCUUAUGGAGGUGUUGUCAGAGGAGCUGAGUUGUGACAUUGAUGACAUAGUGGGAGUUGAGUUGAAUGUUUGCGAUACCCAACCCAGCUGUCUUGGAGGUGGAAACAAUGAAUUUAUUUUUUCUGGAAGAUUAGAUAAUCUUGCUUCAAGUUAUUGUGCGUUAAGGGCUCUUAUUGAUUCAUCUAAAUCACCAAGUGACCUAUCAAGUGAACAUGCCAUCCGGAUGGUUGCUUUAUUUGAUAAUGAAGAGGUGGGUUCAGGCUCAAUUCAGGGGGCUGGUGCACCGACCAUGUUUCAGGCUAUGAGACGAAUAGUUAGUUGCUUGGCUGAGAAAUAUGUUGGUGAAGGUGCUUUUGAACGUGCAAUUCGCCAAUCAUUUCUUGUGUCUGCAGACAUGGCUCAUGGAGUCCACCCAAAUUUCGCUGAUAAGCAUGAAGAACACCACCGACCAGUGAUGCAAAAGGGACUUGUUAUCAAGCAUAAUGCAAACCAGCGGUAUGCUACUAGUGGAGUCACAGCUUUUCUUUUUAAAGAAGUUGGCAAAAUGCAUAACUUACCGACUCAGGAAUUUGUGGUGAGAAAUGAUAUGGGAUGUGGAUCCACGAUAGGUCCAAUACUUGCUUCUGGAGUUGGCAUCCGCACUGUUGAUUGUGGCAUUGCUCAACUUUCCAUGCACAGUGUGCGAGAGAUAUGUGGGAAGGAUGAUAUUGACUUUGCUUACAAGCAUUUCAAGGCAUUCUACCAAACUUUCUCGAGUAUUGAUGGGAAGCUGAAAGUGGAUUUGUAAGUUACAGUCACCCUUUGUAGGAUUUUUAUAUGUCCUUUCUAUAACCUCACUGAAGGGAUGGCCGUAUCGCAUUAUUUUUUCCUCCGCACGUGAACAUUCUUUUGGGCUACAUUUUUGUCUAGGUAACUAGAACUCUAGUUGGAAGCCAAUAUACAAUCAAUACUUCGUUUCUAAAUGACCCACACAUAAGAAAAGGGAAAGCUUCUGUGGCAAAAAUGCCUCCGUAUGAUCAAGGUUUGCUCAAAUUGAUAGAACCUGAGGAGGAAGUGGAUCUAAUCUCAAGUUCAGUAUCAGGGUUCUGAUUGGAGUUUGCACAUGAGCGCUUUUGCUUCAGCUCAUACAACAAAGCUUGAUUCUCCUUGUUGAGCUUUUGAGCUUUCUUCCUUAACAUUUCAUUCUGUUGGAUUAUGUAACAGUUCUGCAAAUAUAGCUCCGAGUUCAGUUUCUCCA